UGUACAGUAACUGAGUGUGGCUUAGAAGUCCGAAGAGGAGGGUCGGAAUCCCCGUUGAGCCCAGGAAGGACGGGAGCAGGGCACUCUCUCUCAGCCUCAGAGGAAGGCCACGGCAAAGUUCUGCAAGGAUUAGCACUAUACAGUGACUGAGUGUGGCUUAGAAGUCCGAAGAGGAGGGUCGGAACCCCCGUUGAGCCCAGGAAGGACGGGAGCAUGGCACUCUCUCUCAGCCUCAGAGGAAGGCCACGGCAAAGUUCUGCAAGGAUUAGCACUAUACAGUGACUGAGUGUGGCUCAGAAGUCCGAAGAGGAGGGUCGGAACCCCCAUUGAGCCCAGGAAGGACGUGAGCAGGGCACUCUCUCUCAGCCUCAGAGGAAGGCCAAGGCAAAGUUCUGCAAGGAUUAGCACUAUACAGUGACUGAGUAUGGCUUUGAAGUCCGAAGAGUAGGGUCUGCAUCCCCUCUAGCCUGGAUGGACAUCAGCAGGGCACUCUCUCUCAGCCUCAGAGGAAGGCCACGGCAAAGUUCUGCAAGGAUUAGCACUGUACAGUGACUGAGUGAGGCUCAGAAGUCCGAAGAGGAGGGCCGGAAUCCCCGGAACGGCAGUUCGGAAAUGCUUGCAAAGUAUCAGCAGAAGCAAGAGGAGGUUGUGCAGCUGCACGUGGAGAUCGAGGCGCAGAAGCUGGAGCUUGACAUGAUCCAGGAGUGCAUCGCGUCCAAGUACGCCCCGCUGGCCAGCCUGGAGGAGAAGGAGCGAGGCUUUGAGGCCGCAGUGAAGGAAUUAAGGGGCCAGCUGGCUGAAUGCGGGGAGCAGUUGGCUGGGAAGGAGGAGGAGAUCAGGACCUGGUGCCAGGAGAACGAGAAGCUGAGGGCCAGCCUCCUGGCUGUCCAGAGUGACCUCCGGCACAACUACGUCCUGGCGGAGAAGUCGCAUGAAACGGAGCGGACCUUCGCCGCCAAGGUGGAAGACCUCAACACGCAGCUGCGGGAGCUGCAGCAGAAGUUUGCCGAGACCCAGUCAGAGAAGGAGCGGCUUCAGGAGGAGAGCGCCAGGCAGCGCUCGGAGGCCCAGGAAGCCCAGAGCCGCCUCCGGGUCCAGUACGUGCCAGUGGAGCAGGUGGAGGCCCUGAAGCGGGAGCUCAACGCUGCCAUGGAGGGGCUGAAGGCAGAGCUGAGCAGCCAGGAAGCCGGUCACCAGGAGCAGCGCCAAAAGGCCGAAGAGCUGCGGCGGGAACUUGCCCACCUCAGGGGCACCUCCAUCCCCUUGGCAGAGCACACGCGGGUCAAGGAGGGGCUGGAAGGAGAGGUGGCGAGUGCGAAGGCCGCCCUGAAAGAGAAGGAGCAGGAGAGCCAAGCCAGGGGCGAGGAGGUCGCCGCACUGCAGUCGGGAAUCCAGAGCGCAAAGCAGUCCCUGAGGGAGCUGGAGAUCCGGGAGGAGGCCGAGAGGCUGGAACACAAGACGGGGACCCUCAGGCUGGAAGGCCAGGUCGCCAGCAUGGCCGAAAGGGUGGCCUCGCUGAGCACCAAGCCUGCUGGGAUGUGCGAGAAGGCCGUCCAGGUGAAGGCGGAGGAGCUGCCCCCGUCUCCGAGGGGCUUCAGCAUCGAGCAGGAGAUCAAGGACCAGAAGGAGCGCUGCGACAAGUCCCUCAGCACCAUCGUGGAGCUGCAGGAGAGGAUCCAGGAGUCGGCCAAGCAGGUGGAAGCCAAGGACAACAAGACAAGAGUUCUUUCUCCCACCAAGCCCCGAAAAAUGCCGGACAGAGUAGCCAGGCCUCGAGGAAGGCUUCAUGACAGUCCAGGAAUACAGCCAGGCCACAGGGGCAGGAGGAGUAAAUAAGGAACAACACUCAGAAAACAGAGGAAUUCCAGACAUGAAUCAAUCAGGGCCAGCUAACACCUCCCAACAAAGGAUUCCCUAAGCAGGAAGCAGACAGACUUUGAAGCUGCAAGGCUGUUCAAUGCUAAUCAAUCCAGUGCCGAUCCUGGAUGCUGCCCAUAUGUCAAACAGAGGCCUUAACAAGGGAGAUCUUUGCAUAAUGUACAGGGGAGCGAUUCCAUAAAUAGAUAUUAAACUUUCUGUCCCCUCUCUUCCCCCCCCCCCCCCCAAAAGAGAGAUUUAUUUGCUUUCCAGCUAAAAGCCAUUCGGCUGAUGUGC
rnacentral:lncRNA from 11 species